GAAAUGCGAUAAGUAAUGUGAAUUGCAGAAUUCAGUGAAUCAUCGAAUCUUUGAACGCACCUUGCGCUCCUUGGUAUUCCUUGGAGCAUGCCUGUUUGAGUAUCAUGAAAUCUUCAAAGUAAAUCUUUUGUUAACUCAAUUGGUUUCUACUUUGGUAUUGGAGGUCUUUGCAGCUUCACACCUGCUCCUCUUUGUUCAUUAGCUGGAUCUCAGUGUUAUGCUUGGUUCCACUCGGCGUGAUAAGUUAUCUAUCGCUGAGGACACUGUAAAAGGUGGCCAAGGUAAAUGCAGAUGAACCGCUUCUAAUAGUCCAUUGACUUGGACAAUACUUUUAUGAUCUGAUCUCAAAUCAGGUAGUACUACCCGUUUAACUUAAGC
rnacentral:misc_RNA from 1 species